rnacentral:rRNA from 1 species
AUUGAACGCUGGCGGCAUGCUUUACACAUGCGAGUCGAACGGUAACAGGCCUUCGGGUGCUGACGAGUGGCGCACGGGUGAGUAAUGCAUCGGAACGUGCCCAGAGGUGGGGGAUAACGCAGCGAAAGCUGUGCUAAUACCGCAUGUGAUCUGAGGAUGAAAGCGGGGGACCAGGCAGCAAUGUUUGGCCUCGCGCCUUUGGAGCGGCCGAUGUCAGAUUAGGUAGUUGGUGGGGUAAAGGCCUACCAAGCCGACGAUCUGUAGCUGGUCUGAGAGGACGACCAGCCACACUGGGACUGAGACACGGCCCAGACUCCUACGGGAGGCAGCAGUGGGGAAUUUUGGACAAUGGGCGCAAGCCUGAUCCAGCAAUGCCGCGUGCGGGAAGAAGGCCUUCGAGUUGUAAAACGCUUUUGUACGGAAAGAAAAGGCUCUGGCUAAUACCUGGGGCUGAUGACGGUACCGUAAGAAUAAGCACCGGCUAACUACGUG